UUCUAUUAAAUAAAUUAAUAGUAAGAUCUGCUCAAUGAUAUAUUUCAAUAGCCGCAACUCGUGCUAAGGUAGCAUAAUCACUUGUCUUUUAAAUAAGGACUAGAACAAAAGAUCCAACAUUCUAAUAAAUCUAUUUAAAUUAAAAAUUAAAUUUUUAAUAAUAGUAAAAAUACUAUUAUUACAUAGAAAGACGACAAGACCCUAUUGAACUUCACUUAAGUUUAACUGGGGCAGUGAAUUAAUUAUCAUUUUAAUAUUAGUUAUACCUAAAAUACCCUAUAUAAUAGAAUAAACCAGUUACCAUAGGGAUAACAGCGCAAUUAUUUUUAUAAGCUCUUAUAUCAAAAAUAGAUUACGACCUCGAUGUUGAAUUAAUAACCUAAAUAAGGCAAAUCU
rnacentral:rRNA from 1 species